AAAACGUAACAGCACAAGCUGCGGAGAGUAGAAUUGUUGAAUUUUUAGGAGUGGGAUAGACACCCAUAUUUUAGUAAUAAGGAAACUGAGGGCCACAGAGGUUAAGGCCCUGUCUAAGGUCAUCCAGCCAAACUAUCUCAAAAACCUGAAAAUUUUCAGAGACAAGAGCAUUGGCCUGGCUAAAACGGAGGGGAUGAGAUUUUCUUUAAUUUUGAGAGCUUAAGAACAUCGGCGUGUGCAGUUGCCUUGGGGGUGAAGAUGUGCAUAUUGGUUACGUCUGCAUGUCCUUCGAAACACUCCCGUGCACAUGGGCACAAGCCACAAGUAACCCUGACUGUGAGAUGCACAGGAGACGAGCUCCGUGUUCCCGUGACUUAAUUUUAAAUCCCAUAUCCCAUUUAGGUUCUACUUUUAGCUGUAUUGCCCCCCGCCCAACACAUGCGAACUGAGUCAAUGCAGAUACAAGUCGGCUAUUUCUGAAGACUAACCUGGUGGCCUUGCCUGGGAAGUGGAACCAAGAACCCUCGAGCCUCCUAGUUCAAAGACAGGAUGUCUGCCUCAUUCCUUGUUCCGUCCCACAUUGCCUGUCACUCUCCACAACUUGCUGUUUCAAAUAAGAAAUCACUGGCCAGGCGCCUUCAGGCUGUGUCUCCUUCCUUUGUGGAAUUCCAUGCCCUGCCUGAGGUCUCUUAAGGAGAGAGGAGCAUUUAGCCCUUGAUUUGAAAAUGACAAAUGGACAAGGAAAAGCAAGCUUGCUGCAAACAAGGAUGUUCCUCCGUUCCAUGUAUCGACACAAAACUACCCAGUGAUUCUUCACAGUGCCCUCAUUUAAUGACUGCAAUAGCAAAUCCUUUUCUGUUACAAAGUCCAAAAGAAAUUCAGAAGUUGGUUUUUCCCUAGAUUCUCCGUGGUUUCUGCAGCACCACGGGGCCUUCUGUUGCUGCAUUUGUGGUGGUUUCAUCAGACUGAGAUGGUGGCCCGAGGGGUGGCGGGAAGUUCUCCGCCUGCAGGCACUGCCGGGCCGCACCUGUCCUCUGUGCCCGCAGCUCACUGCGUUUUUUGGCAUAAUCAACUGCUCUUUAGUGGCCCUUGGAGGAGUGGAUGCUGAAACCCCCAACCAGUCAUUUUGCUUCUGGAUGAUGUUGAUUCUGUAACUUGCAACCAGUGCCAGAGCUCAGGGGAGGGCCUUCCUUCCCCAGCCCACCACUCCACUAUUCCAGGGCCAUAGCCUCGAGCUCCAGAUUGCAAAGAUGCUCAUGAGAGAGUUUUAAGGUAACCACUUCUUUUCACAGAUGGUCCACAUCAGAUGUAGCUCAGGUUUACAGUUGAUUGAGAGAGAUUUGCAGAUAAGAGCAAAGCCAGGAACUGCAACCAGAUGCCAUUGCCCUAGAGGUCCCAGGUACAGCCCCAGGGUGACUGGCCACAUGGCCUUGGCUGAGGGUCCUAGACCGGAGUGAUGCUUAGCACCCGAGAGCCUCCCAGCCCAGUGCAUUGAUGUCUCUAAUUCUUCCUCAGUGUUUAUUCAGUUGUAAACUCUGUACUCUUAUUUGAGCAACCGUUAUACUUGUUCUCAGGAAACCAAAAACCAAAAGGGGAAGGUCCUGGUACUAAUAAAAAAAAAUCACUGUUGAAAUGUAUAAUUGUUAUUUUGGCAAAACUAUGAAGAAUAAAAUGAUUCUGUUUGUGACAACCUAGUUCAUCUAUUCUCUCAUUUUGAGUUUAUAAUUCUGGCUUGAAGUCCCAGAUCACUGUUCCCUGCCAAAAUGUACAGUCUCUGUGCCUGAAUAGCUCAGAAUAGAUUGUUCAGUAUAAAGGAGAAUUCCCUUGUUCCAUCCAAAGGAUUAUAAGGCCGUGGUGUGCAUCUUGCUGCUGAGCUUGAGAUCCUGAAAAGUCGGUUUUGGUUUGCUGUGACUUAUCUGAGGUUUUCCCUGCCUCCAAGCUCCACCCUUACUUGUGCACGUCCUCAGAAGGGACUGUUUUAGGAGACUGCACAUGCCGUGAACACAGCAUGGGAUGGGCUUGUCUCGCAGCCCCUGGGCAUCCUGACAUCCGCAGAGAAGACUGUUCUGGAAUUGCUUGAGUAGAUUUAUUGAAUUAGGUUCUGAUUUCUUGAUGAAGGACCUCAUCUGUAUUGUAUUUGCCAUAAGCAAUGCAACUGAUACCCUUUGGACACACCCACAGACUCGAGGCUGUGUGAUAGUGGCUUUUAGGGGAGUCAGGAUUGAAAUAUCACAUUUGUCCCUGAGGCAUACCUGAUCCCAAGCUCUUGGCGCAGAGUUCGAUUAAUCUACUCAAGAUAGAGGUGGUGGCCAGGGCCCUGCAGUCACUUGUGGACCACUGUGGGCAACCUGAAGCCAUAAGCCAAGAUGCAGCCAUUUGUCUUUGUUUAUAAUUUCUCAUCUGAGCUUAUA
ensembl:lncRNA